UAAACUAGGAUUAGAUACCCUAUUAUAUUUAAAUAAACAAAGUAGUAAAAAAAACAAACUAAUUUAAUUUGGCGGCAUUUCAUCUAUUUAGAGGAAUUUGUCUAUUAAUCGAUAACCCACGUUACCUCUCACUUUAAUCUAAAAUUUAUAUACCGCCAUCUUAAGAAUCAAUUUAAAAAUCACCCUCUAAACAAUUUAUAAAAAGUUAGGUCAAGGUGUAAUCCAUAUUAAAGAAAAGAUGAAUUACACUAAAUACUAUUUAAAGCUUAUUUAUUUAUAUAUAAAUAUAAAUAAGGAUUUAAAAGGUAAUAUAUAAAUAAUAA
rnacentral:rRNA from 1 species